rnacentral:lncRNA from 1 species
CCACGAGAAUGCCCACAGAAGCAUAGCAGGCGAUCAGCAUGGCAGCCGUUUUCCAGCCUAGAGACAUGCACCUACAUAUGGACGGGGCUGUGGGGAGGUUGGGCUGUGAGUCUCUCCUGUUCGACGUCGAGGUGAGCAUGUGUCCGGCAUCGGGCUUCUCGGGGUCCAUCCCGGUGUACCGUUCUUAGAAUUGUAGGCACUCAGGGGUGUCACAAUGCUUGCAAGGUCAUUGAGGCAAAGUGAGCAAGCAAGCAAGGGGGUUCCUGCAGAUGGGAUAUACUGGGAUACGGCUGGCACGUUCUUUUGUUGACGUCGGCAACCUGGAUUCCCAUGUUCGCUGUCAAAGCUGCACAGGCAAAUCAUUCGUUUAGGCUGCACAUACGUUACUUGGAUUGCUCUGGGAUGCCCCGCCCUUUAAUCGUGAGUUUGUGUUGAAAUCAGCUCGACAGCUGCCAAGCUUCCACGAGCGGAGCAACCGGGGACAGAGUGAGAGCCGCAAACGUUGCGGAGCGAGUGCGGUACCUAACACUUCCGCAGACAAUCUUC